rnacentral:rRNA from 1 species
ACUCCUACGGGAGGCAGCAGUGGGGAAUAUUGCACAAUGGGGGAAAGCUCCUGAUGCAGCCAUGCCGCGUGUGUGAAGAAGGGCCUUCGGGUUGAUAAAGCACUUUCAGUAGGGAGGAAGGUAGUGUAGUUAACACCUGCAUUAUUUGACGUUACCUACAGAAGAAGCACCGGCUAACUCCGUGCCAGCAGCCGCGGUAAUACGGAGGGUGCGAGCGUUAAUCGGAAUUACUGGGCGUAAAGCGCAUGCAGGCGGCCUGUUAAGUCAGAUGUGAAAGCCCGGGGCUUAACCUCGGAAUUGCAUUUGAAACUGGCAGGCUAGAGUCUUGUAGAGGGGU